GGCUACUACCGGAAGCACCACUGUGGAGGAACGCUGGUGGGAGAGAACUGGGUGAUCACUGCGGCACACUGUUUUGAAAGAUCUAACCGACCGGCCUCGUUUUCAGUGCGCCUUGGGGAUCAUCAGCAGGGAAAAAGUGACCAGACAGAGGCAGACAAACUUGUGGAAAAAAUUAUACCGUACCCAUACUACAAAAACGACAACAGCGGGCAGCAUGAUAUCGCGUUGAUCAAAUUGGGCAGCAAAGUCGCCUACAGUCCACACAUCAUUCCAGCGUGUCUCCCGGCGCCAACGGACAGCUUUGAAAGCAAUCACGACUGCUGGGUGACUGGGUGGGGAGACAC